rnacentral:tRNA from 1 species
AUUAAAAAAAAAGAAUGUCUAUGUAGCACCAUUUUGUCUUCUUUUUGACUCCAACAUUUUCAUAUUUUCUUUUGGGGAACUCCUAGAGUCCUUCUUUGCCAGAAAAGUAAGAAUUCCAAAUGAUACUUACCUUCAUUUUCUGUGAAGCCUGUAUGUUUUACCUUCAGAGAACCAACACACUGGAUGCAAGAAAUUUGCCAUGUUUGUGUGAAUCUCUUUGAGAAAAGUUAAAAUAUAAAAUAAUUAACUAAAAUGGGUUCGUAGGAGAAAAUAUAAGGCAGCUGAUUGAUAACUAACCAACAGCAUAAGUCAAAAAAAAAAAAAAUCUUAGAUUCAUAUAGGAGAACAGGAGGAUAAGAAAGGCUUCAGUACAUUCAAUCUAGAAGCACCUAAUCUGAGUAUGUGUAACUUGACUUUAAGCAUCAUGCAAAAUAGGAAAUAGCCCUCCUAUAAUUAUUUAUUAGUCAAACGAAGUUACAGGUUAACAAAGACUUAAAAAAUUAAUGCUUGUAUACAUAUCUGAAUUAUCUUCAAAAACUGGAAAAUGCAAUUUUAGAAGUGGCUUAAGUUGUAUUUAGAGUACUUUAGAGUCAAGUUCCUUUUUAUUAGUUGAUUGUAAAUAACAUCUGUUUAAAAAAGCAUUAUGUAUUCUAAAUUUUAGAUUCAGUAAUAUUAAAAACGAAUUGAAUUUCUAUAAUGGAAAAAGUAGCAAAUCACGAAUGAAAGAGUAACAAAACGCGACUCAGUUACCAUUGAGGAAAACAGGUAAUUCCCUGACCGGGAAUCGAACCCGGGCCGCGGCGGUGAGAGCGCCGAAUCCUAACCACUAGACCACCAGGGAACCUGCUUAGGCUGCUCUUCAGAGUGCAUUUGCUUCUUUACAAAUCGUCACCUAGGCGUGACCAGUGGAAAGUAAGACUGCUUGUAAGCCCUGCCCACCUCGUUCUUAUUUUAGGUUUCAGUCUCCUAAACUCCAUCAAAUUCGCGCUGCGCACUCGGCGAGCUCGGCAGCGGCUCCCAAGAAAAAAAAGCCAGAUCUUCCAAACAGAAUCUUCUUCCGACUGCCAUGCUGGAAAAGGCAUCCUUAGACUUCGUCCCAACUGUGUUAAAUACUGCCGCCGGCGGAGAGCGUUUCCGGUUGUAGAGCUGGGUGCGACACUGCACACGUCCCUGGCACAGAGCACUGUAAAUGCGAGUGAGGAAGGGCCUCUUGGCCUCGUAGGACGCGGCUGUUUCUAUUUACUUGUGUGAGAGUAAGAUUAAAGAAGCUGAGAUAGCUGUGGGUGAUUUGCUUAGUGAAGAACUGGGGCCUCUGCACCCUGAUCCAAGAAAACCCUGAAAACCCACUGUUUCCAUUAUCUUCCUGUUUUUUCAAACGGUGUUAUUAUCUCGGCAAUUGCUUCCCCUCUCCGCGUCGUGAGCGAGACACGACCAGGAAAUGAUGCAAUUACCAAAGAAGUCAAGAAACCUUCUAGCCCGCCAUCAGUUCAGAAACUCGCAUGAAAUAGGAGCAGACGGCAAGAGAAUGUAACUUUGAAAGUGCCAACCAUUACAGUUGAAUAAAUGUAACCCAAGAGAUCCCGCUCCGCUGCAAGAUGAAAGGAGGCUUAAGUAAAAUAGACAUAAAUGUGUAAUGAACUUGCUCGCAAUAUCCGGCGCCACUGUGAAUUACAGCCUUUGUCCAGCACCAUAGAAUAUAGGUGAGGCUGAACUGGAUUAUUUUUUCCGGUUUUCAGCAAUUGGGAAGUGAUGUUUAGCUUAUUGAUUAAAAUUUAUCUGAAAUUAUUUAAUAAUAUGCAAGCAGGAAGAUUAGAAUGACUUAUUAAGACUAAUAAGUAAAGAUGGAACCAUCACCAGAAGAAAUUUCUAAACUUAAUUACUGUAUUUUAGAUGGGACACACACCUCUUUCCUAUAUCAAGGAAUUUUUAGGAACUCGAGUGCAGUAGGUGGAGCUCUUACCUCUUAACUGGGGAUUACCAGCACUUGCUUAGCAUAAGAAUACCUAGUUUUGAAUUAAAAAAAAUAAAGCAGAUAUUACUUUCAGAAAAAAUUUAAGUUUUAAUAGGUAGAGUCACAAUCUUGUACAAUAGGUAUAGCAAGGUACAGGGAGAACCAUCAUCCUGCUUUUAUGCCCUAAUCAGUCCUUAUUUCUUCUUUCCAGAGUUAACCAAUGUUAAGUUUUUUCUGUUAAAAUGCUAUCUUUCAUUUUAUUUAUUUUAUUUCUUAUUUAUUUAAUAGCUAUUUCUUUUUUCCCCAAAUUUUUGACUUGAAACAUACCAAACCUACAGAAACCUGCAAGUAUAAAACAAUGAACACAUGACCUAUAUACUUCAUCUAGACCUGUGCUGUCUAAUUAACACCAGCCUCCUUCAUGUGACUUUGUCCACUGCAUUGUGGUGAGUAAGAAUUGAGGUGUUCUGUAACUGUUGAAUACAUACUGGAUUUUUAAGCAUUAGUAUGAAGAAAAAAGUAUGUAAAAUGUUAAUAACGUUUACAUUGAUUACAUUCUAAAUGCUAAAGACUGAGUUAAAAUAUUAACAUCAUUUUCCUUUUUUUAAUGUAGCUACUAGAUUAUUUUAAGUUGUAUAUACUGUUUGCCUUAUAUUUCUAUUUUAUAGUGCUAAUCUAGAUUCAGUAGUUAACAUUUUGCCAUAAUUUGCUUUCUUUUGAUCUUUUAUUUGAAACCAUUUGAGGUUAGUUGCAGACAUCAUGAAAUUUAACUUCCAACUACUAUAUCAUUUAUUUCCAAAGAACAAGCAAUACAGUUGUCACUCAGGAAAUUAAAUUUAAUUCAACAUUAUUUAUUGUACAGUUCCUAGUCAAAUUUUCCCAUUGUCCUAACACUUUUUAUAUUUUUUCCUUUUUAUCCAGGAUCCACUCAAGGAUUAAACAGUGCAUUUAGUUGUCAUGUUUCUGUAGUCUUUUAUUAUUUAUUUAUUUUUUUGUUUUUUGCCAUUUCUUGGGCUGCUCCCACAGCAUAUGGAGGUUCCCAGGCUAGGGGUCUAAUGGGAGCUAUAGCUGCCAGCCUACGCCAGAGCCACAGCAACGCGGUAUCCGAGCUGCGUCUGCAACCUACACCCCAGCUCACGGCAACGCCAGAUCCUUAACCUCACGGUUCCUAGUCGUAUUCGUUAACCACUGAGCCACGACGGGAACUCCUGUAGUCUCCUUUUGAUCUGAAACAAUUCUCCAAUCCUGUUUUUUUUGUUUGUUUUUGUUUUUGUUUUGUUUUGUUUUGUUUUUACAGCAUUGACCUUUUUGAAUAGUGGAGGACAGUUGCUUCAGAAACUCCCUCCAUUUAAAUAAAUAUUUCUUUUGUUAGAAAAACUGUCUUAAGUGAUGUGUCCUUCUCAGGGCAUUACAUCAGAAUUCAAAUACUGCUGAUGUAUUGUGUUAUGUCUAAUGGUGAAUUGGGUAGGCAGAAUAAUGUCCCGCAGGAGAUGUUUCUGUCCUAAUCUCCAGAAUAAUGAAUGCUUCCUGUGGCAGUAGGAGUUUUGCAAAUGUGAUUAAUUAAGGGUUUUGAGAGAGCAAAAAUUAUCCUAUGUUAUGGGAGGGGGGGUACAUCCAAAAUCAUCACAGGGAUCCUUCUAAGACAAGGAGGGAGGUUGGAGAGUUGGAGUCCCAGUGAUAUAAUGCCAGGAGGCUUUGAAGACAGAGGAAGGGGACCAUGAACUAAGGAAUGCAGGGGGCCUCUAGAAGCAGAGAAAGGCAAGGAAAUGGGGUUCUUCCCUAGAGCCUCCAGAAAGAAAACAGCCCUGCCAGCACCUAGGGUUUAGCCUAGUGAGACCUCCAUCAAAAUUCUGGACUACAGGACUGUUAGAUAUAAAUUUGUGCUGUUGUAAGCCAUUGAGUUUGUGGUAAAUUUUUGCAGUACCAGUAGGAAACCAAUACAGUAAGUCUGAUAAUUUGGUGAAGGUGUCUGCCAUAUUUCUCCUUUUUUUGUUGUUGUUUUGUAUGGUUUGGUUUGGUUUGGUUUUGGUUUUGGUUUUUUUCUUUUUUGGCCAUACCCCCGGCUCAUGGAAGAUGUCUGGCCAGCGAUCAAAUCUGAGUCACCUAUAUCACAGCUGCAACCUUUACCACAACGCUGGAUCCUUAACCCACCGCACUGGCUGGGGAGCCAACUGGCACUGCCGCAGAGAUAACACGGGGAUCCUUAACCCGCUG